rnacentral:rRNA from 1 species
AUAUCAAUAAGCGGAGGAAAAGAAACUAACAAGGAUUCCCCUAGUAACUGCGAGUGAAGCGGGAAAAGCUCAAAUUUAAAAUCUGGCGGUCUCUGGCCGUCCGAAUUGUAAUCUAGAGAAGUAAUGCCCGUGCUGGACCGUGUAUAAGUCUCCUGGGAUGGAGCGUCAUAGAGGGUGAGAAUCCCGUCUUUGACACGGACUACCAGUGCAUUGUGGUAUGCUCUCAAAGAGUCGAGUUGUUUGGGAAUGCAGCUCAAAAUGGGUGGUAAAUUCCAUCUAAAGCUAAAUAUUGGCGAGAGACCGAUAGCGAACAAGUACCGUGAGGGAAAGAUGAAAAGAACUUUGGAAAGAGAGUUAAACAGUACGUGAAAUUGCUGAAAGGGAAACGCUUGAAGUCAGUCGCGUUGACCAGGGAUCAGCCUUGCUUUUGCAUGGUGUACUUUCUGGUUGACGGGUCAGCAUCAAUUUUGACCACUGGAAAAGGGCCAGGGGAAUGUGGCAGCUUCGGCUGUGUUAUAGCCCCUAGUCGCAUACAGUGGUUGGGAUUGAGGAACUCAGCACGCCGCAAGGCCGGGUUUCGACCACGUUCGUGCUUAGGAUGCUGGCAUAAUGGCUUUAAGCGACCCGUCUUGAAACACGGACCAAGGAGUCUAACAUGCCUGCGAGUAUUUGGGUGGAAAACCCAAGUGCGUAAUGAAAGUGAAAGUUGAGAUCCCUGUCGUGGGGAGCAUCGACGCCCGGACCAGAACUUUUGGGACGGAUCCGCGGUGGAGCAUGUAUGUUGGGACCCGAAAGAUGGUGAACUAUGCCUGAAUAGGGUGAAGCCAGAGGAAACUCUGGUGGAGGCUCGUAGCGAUUCUGACGUGCAAAUCGAUCGUCAAAUUUGGGUAUAGGGGCGAAAGACUAAUCGAACCAUCUAGUAGCUGGUUCCUGCC